GCGUGGGAACGUACCCUUUGGUUCGGAAUAGCCCUGGGAAACUGGGAGUAAUACCGGAUACGGUCGAGAGACGAAAGAUUUAUCGCCGAAGGAUCGGCCCGCGUUGGAUUAGGUAGUUGGUGGGGUAAUGGCCUACCAAGCCGACGAUCCAUAGCUGGUUUGAGAGGAUGAUCAGCCACACUGGGACUGAGACACGGCCCAGACUCCUACGGGAGGCAGCAGUGGGGAAUCUUAGACAAUGGGGGAAACCCUGAUCUAGCCAUGCCGCGUGAGCGAUGAAGGCCUUAGGGUUGUAAAGCU
rnacentral:rRNA from 1 species